rnacentral:lncRNA from 1 species
GGCUUACUUGGGUCCACGUUUCAACAAUCAUCGAGCAUCCAGAGCCAUGGCUGGGCUGUGAGGAGCUGCGAGCAUCCCUCCCUUCCCCUCCCCUCCCUUCGUGUGGUGUUUUGUCUAGGUUUGCUUGUAAGAUGGAAGCUGGUCAUACCAGCAAGUGAGGUCAAGCCUGAAACACACUCAUGGUGUGGGUCCUGUCUACAGCUUUCCAGGAAGGCAGCAAGAGAGAGGAAAGCUCGAUGCAGACGUGCAUGCCCUUCACAUGCUGCUGAUGGCAUAAUUUACCCGGCAGCUGUCACAGCUGUUGCCCCUUAGCCCCAAAUACCUGGGCUGGCAACGUCUGUGUGGGGGGAGCUGGGGCCAGAGCUUUGGGGCAGCUGCGUUCAGACGCAGCUCAGGCUCUGGGCUGGGAAAGCUGCGCCUUUGCUCCGUGCUCAGCGCGCUGGGGUUACGGCUCUGCAGGGAAGAACAAGCUCCCAGGGCAAAGCUGCCGCGUGGUUUGUGCUGCCCAACCUUUGGAGUCCCAGGGGACUCCUUGGAGAGGCCGCAUGCAGCGUUCCUGGCUUUCAGGCUUUGAGGUUAUUAUGUGGUGGUAGUUCACAGGCUCUUCAGAAUGGCUGUGGAAGAUCCAGCUGCUUAGGAACACGCGUCACGAGACGUUCUGGCACUGUCAGGGUCCCAGGGUGGUGAGAAGGCAUAUGGAGAGAAAGACAGAAGCACAGUGAAGCAGCAGGAACAGUAAGAAGGAAAACCCGAGCUGUGGAGCCAGCCGUGCCCAGGAUAACCGUGUGCGAGGAACAAGCCACGUGUGGAAUCCUAAGCAGAGAACUCCUGGGGAGGGGCAAGAAAAGUACCACGAAGUAAAAAUCCUUUAGGCAAAAUAGAUAAUUGCACCGCGAUGGAUAUGUGAUUCUUUUUCUUAUGUAUCUAGGCAACUAUUUGCUUUAGAAGUAAUGACUGUUAUAAAUCACAGAAUGAAGUUUCUAACCCCAACACAUGCCUGGAACAGAGCUGUUGAUACUAUCCAGCUAAUAAAACAUAUUUCUUGAAGCA